rnacentral:rRNA from 1 species
AGAGUUUGAUCCUGGCUCAGAGCGAACGCUGGCGGCGUGCUUAACACAUGCAAGUCGAACGCGCAGCAUUCUGUAGCAAUACAGGGUGUGGGCGCGUGGCGAACGGGUGCGUAACACGUGGAUAACCUUCCUUGAGGUGGGGAAUAACCCAGUGAAAAUUGGGCUAAUACCGCAUAACAUCGCGAUGGCACAUGCUGAUGCGAUCAAAGGCGCAAGUCGCCACAAGAGGGAUCCGCGGCCGAUUAGCUUGUUGGCGAGGUAAUGGCUCACCAAGGCAAUGAUCGGUAGCCGGACUGAGAGGUUGGCCGGCCACACUGGAACUGAGACACGGUCCAGACUCCUACGGGAGGCAGCAGUGGGGAAUCUUGCACAAUGGACGAAAGUCUGAUGCAGCAACGCCGCGUGGGGGAUGAAGCUUCUCGGAGUGUAAACCCCUUUCGACCCGGAAGAAUGCCCGCAAGGGAUGAC